rnacentral:rRNA from 1 species
AUGUUGACGUCGAGCUGUGGGCGUUCCGGUCGCCGAGCUUGCCCGUGCAGCCCAAGUUGCCCGACCAAGACAAGCAGCGGAGACUCGACGGACUCCAGGGUCACCCUGACGGCGCCCUCGGCCUUCUCCUUCUCUUCCAAGUACAGCACCAUGACGCAACAAACGUUCACCACGCCGAGGAAGGAAAGGAGCGUGCGCCGGCGCCGCGGCCGGUCCAUGAGACCAAGAGGAAGGCAUCGGCGCGACAAGACAACCUCGCGGAUGCGCACAUGA